rnacentral:rRNA from 1 species
CCGCGGCCUCCGCUGCGGGCUCACGCUCGCACGUGCCGGCCAGAGGACCCAACUCUUGAUUUUAGUGAUGUCUGAGUACUAUUAAAUAGUUAAAACUUUCAACAACGGAUCUCUUGGUUCUGGCAUCGA